rnacentral:rRNA from 1 species
CCUACGGGUGGCAGCAGUGAGGAAUAUUGGUCAAUGGGCGCGAGCCUGAACCAGCCACGUAGCGUGAAGGAUGACUGCCCUACGGGUUGUAAACUUCUUUUAUAAAGGAAUAAAGUGAGGCACGUGUGCCUUUUUGUAUGUACUUUAUGAAUAAGGAUAGGCUAACUCCGUGCCAGCAGCCGCGGUAAUACGGUGGAUCCGAGCGUUAUCCGGAUUUAUUGGGUUUAAAGGGAGCGUAGAUGGGUUGUUAAGUCAGUUGUGAAAGGUUGCGGCUCAACCGGAAAAUUGCAAUUGAUACUGGCAGACUUGAGUGCAGUCGAGGUGGGCGGAAUUCGUGGUGUAGCGGUGGAAUGCUUAGAUAUCACGAAGAACUCCGAUUGCGAAGGCAGCUUACUAAACUGCCACUGACGUUGAGGCUCGAAAGUGUGGGUAUCAAACAGGAUUAGAUACCCGUGUAGUC